UACCGCGUGGAGGAGGAAGGCCCGUGGGUCGUAAACUCCUUUUCUCAGAGAAGAACACAAUGACGGUAUCUGAGGAAUAAGCAUCGGCUAACUCCGUGCCAGCAGCCGCGGUAAUACGGAGGAUGCAAGCGUUAUCCGGACUGAUUGGGUGUAAAGCAUCUGUAGGCGGUUUUGGAAGUCUACGGUUAAAUCCCAGAGCUUAACUUUGGUUCAGCCGUAGAGUACUUCAAAGCUUGAGUAUGGUAGGGGUAGAGGGAACUUCUCGUGGAGCGGUGAAAUGCACAGAGAUGAGAAGGAACACCAGUGGCGAAAGCGCUCUACUGGGCCAUGACUGACGCUGAGAGAUGACAGCUGAGGGAGCGAAUAGGAUUAGAUACCCUAGUAGUCUCAGCCGUAAACGAUGGAUACUAGAUGUUGCCACAAGCAGUGUCGAAGCUAACGCGUUAAGUAUCCCACCUGGGGAGUACGUACGCAAGUAUGAAA
rnacentral:rRNA from 1 species